UACGUAGGGUGCAGGCGUUAAUCGGAAUUACUGGGCGUAAAGCGUGCGCAGGCGGUUUGCUAAGACAGGUGUGAAAUCCCCCGGCUCAACUGGGGAACUGCACAGGAGACUGCUUGGCUUGAGUUCGGGAGAGGGAAGCGGAAUUCCGGGUGUAGCGGUGAAAUGCGUAGAUAUCCGGAGGAACACCGGUGGCGAAGGCGGCUUCCUGGACCGACACUGACGCUGAGGCGCGAAAGCCAGGGGAGCAAACGGG
rnacentral:rRNA from 1 species